rnacentral:RNase_P_RNA from 1 species
GCAGUGUAAGAGACUACCGCUGAGCCCGGUAACGGGACAGGCAGUGCAAGCCCCAUCCGAAGCAAGGUCAAGUACGAGACGAUACAGCGGCCCGUUGUGUCUCGUGGUAGACCGCUUGAGCUGUCCGGCAACGGGCAGUCUAGACAGAUGACCGUACACGACAGAACCCGGCUUACAGCCCGGCCGCUUUU